CGGGGCGUGGCGCAGCUCGGUUAGCGUGCAUGAAUGGGGUUCAUGAGGUCGCGAGUUCGAAUCUCGCCGCCCCGA
rnacentral:tRNA from 2 species